rnacentral:rRNA from 2 species
AGCUUGCUGGGUGGAUUAGUGGCGAACGGGUGAGUAACACGUGAGUAACCUGCCCUUAACUCUGGGAUAAGCCUGGGAAACUGGGUCUAAUACCGGAUAGGAGCGUCCACCGCAUGGUGGGUGUUGGAAAGAUUUAUCGGUUUUGGAUGGACUCGCGGCCUAUCAGCUUGUUGGUGAGGUAAUGGCUCACCAAGGCGACGACGGGUAGCCGGCCUGAGAGGGUGACCGGCCACACUGGGACUGAGACACGGCCCAGACUCCUACGGGAGGCAGCAGUGGGGAAUAUUGCACAAUGGGCGCAAGCCUGAUGCAGCGACGCCGCGUGAGGGAUGACGGCCUUCGGGUUGUAAACCUCUUUCAGUAGGGAAGAAGCGAAAGUGACGGUACCUGCAGAAGAAGCACCGGCUAACUACGUGCCAGCAGCCGCGGUAAUACGUAGGGUGCGAGCGUUAUCCGGAAUUAUUGGGCGUAAAGAGCUCGUAGGCGGUUUGUCGCGUCUGUCGUGAAAGUCCGGGGCUUAACCCCGGAUCUGCGGUGGGUACGGGCAGACUAGAGUGCAGUAGGGGAGACUGGAAUUCCUGGUGUAGCGGUGGAAUGCGCAGAUAUCAGGAGGAACACCGAUGGCGAAGGCAGGUCUCUGGGCUGUAACUGACGCUGAGGAGCGAAAGCAUGGGGAGCGAACAGGAUUAGAUACCCUGGUAGUCCAUGCCGUAAACGUUGGGCACUAGGUGUGGGGACCAUUCCACGGUUUCCGCGCCGCAGCUAACGCAUUAAGUGCCCCGCCUGGGGAGUACGGCCGCAAGGCUAAAACUCAAAGGAAUUGACGGGGGCCCGCACAAGCGGCGGAGCAUGCGGAUUAAUUCGAUGCAACGCGAAGAACCUUACCAAGGCUUGACAUGUUCUCGAUCGCCGUAGAGAUACGGUUUCCCCUUUGGGGCGGGUUCACAGGUGGUGCAUGGUUGUCGUCAGCUCGUGUCGUGAGAUGUUGGGUUAAGUCCCGCAACGAGCGCAACCCUCGUUCCAUGUUGCCAGCACGUAAUGGUGGGGACUCAUGGGAGACUGCCGGGGUCAACUCGGAAGGAAGGUGAGGACGACGUCAAAUCAUCAUGCCCCUUAUGUCUUGGGCUUCACGCAUGCUACAAUGGCCGGUACAAUGGGUUGCGAUACUGUGAGGUGGAGCUAAUCCCAAAAAGCCGGUCUCAGUUCGGAUUGGGGUCUGCAACUCGACCCCAUGAAGUCGGAGUC